ensembl:lncRNA
AUGGAGGCUGGUCUCCCCUGCAGCAGCUCCCUGGGACAGGAGCUGGGUCCUGCUACCUCCCGUUGCCAGACUGCUGCACUGCUGGGAGGUAAGAAGGAGAGGGGAAGACAUGAGUGUUGUUUUCAAAUAUAUAAAUAUUGGGCUUGCAGUGGGGUCUGUGACCCCCUCCUUGGGCAAGAGCUGCAGUGCUGGGUGGGUGUGUGCACCACUGCAGGAACAAAGCUCCAGGAGCUACUGGGGAUGGAGAAAUGCAGGCAACCCAACCUGCUUCCCCAAUGGGCAGCAUCAGAGGCUGCUGCAGCAUUUGGGGAAAGACUGGGGAUUUUUAGGCCUUUGGUGGUUGCGAGUGCCAGGUGCCUGAAACGCUCCCGGCAGCUGCUGUGUGAGACUUGUUCUCUCCCUUUGACUAGUUGGGGCAGGACAUGGCUGGCUGUGAGCCCUCUCCCUCCUUGUGGGGAGUUUCAGGCAUGGGCUGUGGGCUCGGGGGGCUGUGAGCCGUCCUGGAGCUCUGCUGCUCCUGGGGAAUGCUCCCACCUGGCACUGGCACCCGCGGCCACGUCACUGCUGGAAUUCCAGCAGCCAGCGCUGUGUGGUUGCGGGCGCUCGAGGAGCAGAAGGGCGAGGGGGCAAUGCACUGGAUGGCUGCUGGGUUUGGGAACCACCAUCGUGCCUGCUGAGCCCGUCAGCAGAGGAGCAGGAUGUGUUUGCACCCUUUGCUGCCCAGGCAGGUUUGCUUCCAGGGUAAUGCCACUGAUGCCCAUGCGCAGGGCCCACAGCCGUGCCCCAGUGUGGAUUUUGGUCCAGGCAAUCACGUCCCCCUGUGCUUUGCAGAAAGUAGAGUGUGAGCAUUGUCCAUCACUUGGAAUCAUGACCCCUGAGGGGUUGAGGCCAAUGAGGAAAUCCUGCCCUCACAAAUCCUGGGGGCCAUCCCUGCCAACCCGGGCCUUGCUCAGCUGCCCAGAGCUUGCACUGCUGCCUGUUGCGCUUUUUAUUGCAGGGCAUAGAAAAGUCCUUCCUGUUGGCUCUUAA